CUUGUUAUUAGAUAAGAGGUCCAGCCUGCCCAGUGAAUUAAUUCAACGGCCGCGGUAUCCUAACCGUGCGAAGGUAGCGUAAUCACUUGUUCUUUAAAUGAGGACUAGUAUGAAUGGCACCACGAGGGUUACACUGUCUCCUUUUUUUAAUCAGUGAAACUAAUCUUCCCGUGAAGAAGCGGGAAUAUUCUUAUAAGACGAGAAGACCCUAUGGAGCUUUAAAUUAAUUUACAUUUGCUGCAACCUACUUAUUUUCUGAAACACCAAAAUAAAGCAUAGCACCUUGAUUAUUAAUUUUCGAUUGGGGUGAUCACGGAGCAAAAAAUAACCUCCAUGUUGAAAGGAUAAACUCCUGAGCAAAAAGACACAACUUUAGGCACUAAAAAACUAACACAUAUUGAUCCAAUAUUUUGAUCAACGAAC
rnacentral:rRNA from 1 species